CCUGUCGCUUCUAUAGUGUGCGUGGUAUCAUUGUAAAGCUAUGCUAAGCCUCUAUCAGGGCAACCACUGAUCUGAACAACAACAGUCACCAGGUACAAAAUAUCACCUCCUAAAGCGCAUCAAAAUUUCCAGCCUUUGACUGAUACAUACUUUUUGUUAUUUUUGAACAGUGCUAGAGGACACAUUUGAUAUCUGUCUUUGCCCGGGUCUCCUGGACAGCACCUAUCCAACAAGCCGCCACACAUGUGUGUCAAUCGUCUGUCCAUCGAAACAGU